UACGUAGGUGACAAGCGUUGUCCGGAUUUACUGGGCGUAAAGAGCGCGCAGGCGGUCGUUCAAGUCGAGUGUGAAAGCCCCCGGCUCAACUGGGGAGGGUCAUUCGAUACUGAUCGACUCGAAGGCAGGAGAGGGUAGUGGAAUUCCCGGUGUAGUGGUGAAAUGCGUAGAUAUCGGGAGGAACACCGGUGGCGAAGGCGGUUCUCUGGGCAUUACCUGACGCUGAGGAGCGAAAGUGUGGGGAGCGAACAGG
rnacentral:rRNA from 1 species